rnacentral:rRNA from 1 species
UAGGGAAUCUUCGGCAAUGGGGGCAACCCUGACCGAGCAACGCCGCGUGAGUGAAGAAGGUUUUCGGAUCGUAAAGCUCUGUUGUAAGUCAAGAACGGGUGUGAGAGUGGAAAGUUCACACUGUGACGGUAGCUUACCAGAAAGGGACGGCUAACUACGUGCCAGCAGCCGCGGUAAUACGUAGGUCCCGAGCGUUGUCCGGAUUUAUUGGGCGUAAAGCGAGCGCAGGCGGUUUGAUAAGUCUGAAGUUAAAGGCUGUGGCUCAACCAUAGUUCGCUUUGGAAACUGUCAAACUUGAGUGCAGAAGGGGAGAGUGGAAUUCCAUGUGUAGCGGUGAAAUGCGUAGAUAUAUGGAGGAACACCGGUGGCGAAAGCGGCUCUCUGGUCUGUAACUGACGCUGAGGCUCGAAAGCGUGGGGAGCGAACAGGAUUAGAUACCCUGGUAGUCCACGCCGUAAACGAUGAGUGCUAGGUGUUGGAUCCUUUCCGGGAUUCAGUGCCGCAGCUAACGCAUUAAGCACUCCGCCUGGGGAGUACGACCGCAAGGU